GUACAUUUUAUCAACUGAAGCAGCAAAUACUGAAAUAAUACAGGUGUGUGUAGGGACAAAUACCUUAAAGAUCCCAUCAUAACUAGCACAAACUCAUUUGUUGAAUAGUAUUUUCCUUUGAUUGUAAAAGGAAUUGGGUUAGCAAAAGUCAUACUGUUCUACAGAAUAAUAUCAUUGAAUAUUUCUCAAUAUUCAAAACCAUAAGCGCAAUAAAGAGGUGACUGAAAAAACGAUAAUUGUUUUUAAUGAUGCCAUCAACACAUGCAGCCUUUCACAUCUCACAUCGACAUCCUUCAUUUAACAGAGAGCUUUUCAUCGUCUUUGAAACCAGCAGUGCACUGAUGAUGUCGUGCAUCUUUUUGCCAUUACUCUGAUAAACACAUCAGUCAUACACCAUCAAUAAUCAUCUAACAAUGGAACAUCCAGUACUGACGUUGUAUAUUGUAAUUUUACAGUUGAUAAUGCACAAUUUGUUUUGAGUAUUUACAUAUCAUAACAUCUGUGGCUCUCAAUAUAAAUCCUACACAAUGUGCAGUAUAUAGGCAUAUUUUCAGGUACACACUGUACACAAUCAUCUAGUCUGUAUUUUUUCUAUAUUAAAUCUAUUUUUUCUUAGCUGUGUGUGUGUGAAUAGACAGUCCUAACUAUUCUUAACCCUCAUAUAACCAGCUUUUUUCCCCCCUUUCCACACUAAAGCUGUUCUUUCUAUUUCUGCUCUGAUUGAGAGAGCUAAAAAACCAAAUACUUAAGUUAAAUUCCUUAUUUGUGCACACAUGCUUGGCCAAAAAAGGUAAAUCUGUAUUUCACUAAAUGCCUCUUAACGCUUAACAAAGCUUAAUUCUUAAUCGUUAAGUGACUCGUUAAGUCAUCAUAUACCUUCACAACUAAAACCAGAUCUUUUAUGCUGGUUCUAAAAAAUCUAACACGAAACCAGGAGAUAACUCAGUCUGCAAAGAAAGGAAACACAUACAGUAAUAUUUUCACAAUUUUCUGCAAGCACUUUACUUGGUACAUUAAUCCAUAAAGAGAAGUAUCAAUAUUCAUAGAGAAUCAAUGUCAACACAGAUCCAAUGUAAUCAAAUGACGAUUGCAAAUAUGGAAUGAAGUUAAUGAAAAUGUCUUCUUUGAAUUGGAAUCUAUCACGCAGAAGAACUUUAACUCCAGAAGACAAGUGCAAGAUUAGUAGAGGUAAAAAAAUAAAAAGCAAGGUUCUAAAAAAUGGUAACAACUUAUUAUGUUAAACAAGCAAACCGCUGAUGUUCAGGGUUGAUUAGCUUUUAACGGAAUGUAUACUAAAUACAUUUACUGUCACAACUGUACAUAGCCAUAUAUUUGAGGUACUUUCACUUAACUUACACUUACUUACACUAAAAUAGUGUGCUUAUUACUCAACUACAAUCAUUUGACAUUUAUAGUUACCUAUCACCUUAUAAACUAAGAUAUUUCAAUAAAAAACAUCUGGAGGUUAUACAAUAUGAUGCAGAUCUCCCAGACCUGUUCCAGACCUUCCUGGUUUGUUCCAGACUAGAAAAGCAUUUUCAUGAUAGUGUUUAAUACUUUUUUAAUAAAAAUAAAUUGAAUAAUCUGCAUAUAUUUUUUGUAAAAUCUUUUGAAAGUUUUCACAAUUGAAGGUGUCGCUUUGGGCUCUGAGGAAUUUAAGUUAAUAUUUUUUAACAAUCCAUCUGUUAACUGAAAAUAAUCCAUAAUGAAAAGAAAUAGUGUCAACCAAUAAAAUAGUUUAAAAUCAAACAAAUUCAGCAGCAAUACGCUGCUUACACAUUAAUACAGUAUUCAUUAUAAAAUAAAAGUAUAUCAUAUAUAACAAUAUAACCGGGACUGUAGGAAGCAUUGAGAACUUUUACCGUAAGGUACUGUGGAGUAAUAAUAACCCUGUUGCCUGUCUGCCUGCCUGAACAUAUUUAGAACACGUGACUCAUUACUCGUCCUGCACGAGCUGCUAUGUUGACGGGCUUGAAGACUAGCGCUGGUCAUGUUUGUUGUUUACAUUCGUAAGGUUAAUUUAGGGUGAGGGGUUUUGGACGACCUUCACUAAAUUUAGCAGCUUUGGGUACACGCUACGAGCCACAUUCAUUUUUUAAAUAAAGAAUAGGCUUGAAAGUUUCUUAAGAUUACCCAUCCUGCCUUUGAUUCAUUUUAGUUAUGUAACAUUUGGAGGACUUUUACUUGUUCACAACGGUUCACUUCCACUCCAGUGAAAGGUCUGAGUAUUUCUCCCGUCGCUGAGACUCUACUGGUCUUCUUGGUUGUGCUGAUCUGGUUCUCUCUGCCACAAGGUGACAAGAAAGGGAGGACAUCUAAGAGCUCUCUCCCCCGGAACGUCCUCCCGGGCGACAACC
ensembl:lncRNA